AAUUAAAUUAAAUUUUAUAUUAAAGUAGUAUUAGUUAUAUUCUUAAAAUUUAAUAAAUUUGGCGGUAUUUUUUCUUAUCAGAGGAACUUGUUUUAUAAUUGAUAAUCCUCAUUAUAUCUUACUUAAUUUAUUAAAAUUUGUAUACCGUCGUCAUAAAAAUAUUUUUAAAAAAUAAUAAUUUUUUUAAGUUUUAAAUAAAAAUUAUGUCAGAUCAAGGUGCAGUUUAUAAUUAAGAAAAAAUUAGUUACAAUAAAUUUAUUUUUGAAUAAAUAAUUUAAAUAUUAUUUUGAAAUUGGAUUUGAAAGUAAAUUAAUUAAGGUAAAUUAAUUGAUUAAGUUCAAAAAUAUGU
rnacentral:rRNA from 1 species